GUUUUUCAUGAAAUAUCAUUAGAGUUAUUGCUUUCCAUUUCUUUUUCUUAUUUUUAUUUUUAUUUUUAUUUCAAUACCCAUUUGUUAUUAUGUUGUUUGGAUAUAAUUUUGUAGAGUUUGUGUUGACACUUGAUAAUAUAAGUGACUAAACUUUAAGCUAGAGAUUUUGAUUUAAUUUUCUUUGUUUUGCUAUUAGUUAUUAUAAGAUGUUUAAUUCUUUUAGAUAUUUUGGCUAUAUAUUUGAAUGAUUUUAGAUUUGUAAUUUAUUGUUGGGAAACAAGUUUUUUAACAAUAAAAUUAUAUUUUGUUUUAAAUUGAUCUUCGUAUUAGGCAAAGCUUCAAGUUAAAUAGCUUCAAAGUGAUAAAAAAAUUUGAGAAAAAUUGAAGUUGAAUGUUAAAUGGAGUUUCCAGUAAAUUCUACACCCAUGCCAUGAAAAUUGAAAAAAUCACACUCAAACCAUGGGAGGAAGAAUUAAGUGAUGGAAAAAACAAUUAAUCCCACAGCUUGCUUGUGGAAUGAAAAAAUGCCCACAAUCAAACUGUGGGAUAAUGGAAAGGUGCACAAGCAGGUUAUGGGAUGCCUUUUUUUUUAACUUUUCUUCAUCAAUCAGCUCUUGAAAACUCACCAAGUGAGAGGAAAAGUUCAAUUUUGAGUUAGUUAAAGCUUUUUUUUUUUUUUUUUU
rnacentral:misc_RNA from 1 species